rnacentral:lncRNA from 1 species
CGACAAUUUUAUUGAUAAGCUUCUAAAAACUCUAUUUGAAACUCUUUUUCCAGCUCCGUUGGUGUAGGGAAAGCUCUGAAAAAAUUUUGACAGAGCUUUCGUGCAUAGAAAAUAGUAAAGUGAGUUUCAAAUAGAAUACGAGCCUAUUUAUAGAGCUUAUCAAUGGUUUAGAUCAACUAGAUUCGCUGUCAAAUUGGUGCCACUUGGCCGCAAUCCAAUGACUCUAAUAAAAGACCUUUCAACUCACCUCAUUCUAAUCAAGCCACACAAGCUUGAUCUGUACGGUAGUUGAAAUAGUCAAUAGCAAAAUGAUACGUAGCAAGUAGAGAAUCAACUCAUAUCGGUAGACCUUCCAAGCAAUAAUGAAUUUUCAAUUCUCUAGACCUUCAUAAUUGUUGGAGGAUUCGAUGAGACAUUUUUGAAAAGACAUAUCGCCUCAAACGAUUAAAAAAAUUAAUACUAUCAACUACCAUACGGUACAUUUGUUAUUG